CCAAUAGCGUAUAUUAAAGUUGUUGCAGUUAAAAAGCUCGUAGUUGAAUUUCGGGAUCAAUUUAUUGGUCGUGCUAUUGUACGUACUGGUAUUAUUGAUUCCUACCUUCUGACGAACCAUGAUGUCAUUAAUUUGGUGUCAUGGGGAGUCAGGACUGUUACUUUGAAAAAAUUAGAGUGUUUAAAGCAGGCUCACGCUUGAAUACAUUAGCAUGGAAUAACGAAAUAGGACGUUUGAUUCUAUUUUGUUGGUUUCUAGGAUCGACGUAAUGAUUAAUAGGGAUAGUUGGGGGCAUUAGUAUUCAAUUGUCAGAGGUGAAAUUCUUGGAUUUAUUGAAGACUAACUACUGCGAAAGCAUUUGCCAAGGAUGUUUUCAUUAAUCAAGAACGAAAGUUAGGGGAUCGAAGACGAUCAGAUACCGUCGUAGUCUUAACCAUAAACUAUGCCGACUAGGGAUCGGAUGAUGUUAAUUUUUUAAUGACUCAUUCGGCGCCUUAC
rnacentral:rRNA from 1 species